AUCGAACGCUGGCGGCGGGCCUAACACAUGCAAGUCGAACGCAGGGGGGACGGGUGAGGGACAUGUGGGUAAGAUCGCAUCAGAGGGGAAAACACAUGGAAAAAGGUGCUAAACCGAGAGGGAUGGAUGAACCCGGGGUGGAUUAGCUAGUUGGUGAGGUAACGCCUCACCAAGGCAACGAUCCCUAGCUGGUCUGAGAGGGUGAUCAGCCACACUGGGACUGAGACACGGCCCAGACUCCUACGGGAGGCAGCAGUGGGGAAUCUUGCGCAAUGGGCGAAAGUCUGAUGUAGCAAUGCCGCGUGAAUGAAGAAGGUUUUCGGGUUGUAAAAUUCUUUCAGUAGGGAGGCGUUACCUAACCAAAAAGCCACGGCUAACUCCGUGCCAGCAGCCGCGGUAAUAC
rnacentral:rRNA from 1 species